rnacentral:rRNA from 1 species
UACAGAGGGUGCAAGCGUUAAUCGGAAUUACUGGGCGUAAAGCGUGCGUAGACGGUUGCAUAAGUCAGAUGUGAAAGCCCCGGGCUCAACCUGGGAAUUGCAUUUGAGACUGUGUAGCUAGGGUGCGGAAGAGGGAAGCGGAAUUUCCGGUGUAGCGGUGAAAUGCGUAGAUAUCGUGAGGAACACCAGAGGCGAAGGCGGCUACCUGGACAAUUGCUGACGCUCAGGCACGAAAGCGUGGGGAGCAAAAGGG